rnacentral:rRNA from 1 species
AUUGAACGCUGGCGGCGUGCCUGACACAUGCAAGUCGAGCGGUAACAGGUGUAGCAAUACAUGCUGACGAGCGGCGAACGGGUGAGUAAUGCUUCGGAAUCUACCCAAUGGUGGGGAAUAACCAGCCGAAAGGUUGGCUAAUACCGCAUACGUCCCACGGGAGAAAGCAGGGGAUCGCAAGACCUUGCGCCAAUGGAUGAGCCGAAGUCGGAUUAGCUAGUGGUAGGGUAACGGCCUACCAAGGCGACGAUCCGUAGCUGGUCUGAGAGGACGACCAGCCACACUGGGACUGAGACACGGCCCAGACUCCUACGGGAGGCAGCAGUGGGGAAUAUUGGACAAUGGGGGAAACCCUGAUCCAGCGACGC